UGGUCCUAGCCUUGAAAUCAGUACUUACUUAAUUUACACAUGCAAGUCUCCGCACCCCUGUGAAAACGCCCUUUAACCCCCUAUUGGGGUAAGGAGCUGGUAUCAGGCUCACUUUAGCCCAAGACACCUAGCUAUGCCACACCCACAAGGGUACCCAGCAGWGAUCAACAUUGAUAAUAAGCGCAAGCUUGAAUCAGUUAAAGUAAAAAGAGCCGGCAAAUCUGGUGCCAGCCGCCGCGGUUACACCACGUGACUCAAAUUGAUCUUCUGACGGCGUAAAGCGUGAUUAAAGCUAACUUAUACUGUAGUUGAACCGGAAUUAAGGUGUGAUAAACUUGUUCUGCGGAAGCCCACAAACGAAAGUUACUACAACUAAAACAACUUGAACUCACGACAGCUGGGAAACAAACUGGGAUUAGAUACCCCACUAUGCCCAGCCGUAAACCAUAACUUACACCCAAAUCGCCGGGGAAUUACGAGCUUAAAGCUUAAAACCCAAAGGACUUGACGGUACCCCAUAUCCCCCUAGAGGAGCCUGUCCUAUAAUCGACAAUCCCCGUUUAACCUCACCACUUUUAGCCAAUCAGUCUGUAUACCUCCGUCGUCAGCUUACCACGUGAGCGACCAUAGUGAGCUUAAUGUCCAUCCGUCAAAACGUCAGGUCAAGGUGCAGCUUAUAAAGUGGGAAGAGAUGGGCUACAUUCUCUAAUCUAGAAAAUACGGAAGACUACCUAUGAAACCUAGUCGGAAGGCGGAUUUAGAAGUAAAAAGGGAUAAGAAAGCUCUUUUUAACCUGGCACUGGGGUGUGUACACACCGCCCGUCACCCUCCUCGAAGCCGAAAGAACAGUAUUUAACUCAUUAAAGCAAAAUAGAAGAGGCAAGUCGUAACAUGGUAAGCGCACCGGAAGGUGAGCUUGGAAA
rnacentral:ncRNA from 1 species